GAAACCUGCCCCGGAGACCGGAAUAGCCCAGGGAAACCUGGAUUAAUACCGGAUACCCUCCGACGAUCGCAUGAUCGACGGAGGAAAUGGUCCGCCGCUCCGGGAUGGUCUCGCGGCCUAUCAGUUAGUUGGUGAGGUAAUGGCUCACCAAGACUACGACGGGUAGCUGGUCUGAGAGGACGAUCAGCCACACUGGGACUGAGACACGGCCCANACUCCUACGGGAGGCAGCAGCAGGGAAUUUUGCACAAUGGGCGCAAGCCUGAUGCAGCGACGCCGCGUGGGGGAUGAAUGCCUUCGNGUUGUAAACCCCUUUCAGGAGGGACGAAGCGAAAGUGACGGUACCUCCAGAAGAAGCCCCGGCCAACUACGUGCCAGCAGCCGCGGUAAUACGUAGGGGGCGAGCGUUGUCCGGAUUUAUUGGGCGUAAAGAGCUCGUAGGCGGCUCAGCAAGUCGGCCGUGAAAGCCUGAGGCUCAACCUCAGGACGCCGGUCGAAACUGCUGUAGCUAGGGUUCGGUAGA
rnacentral:rRNA from 1 species